AGUGAACGCUGGCGGUAGGCCUAACACAUGCAAGUCGAACGGCAGCACAGUAAGAGCUUGCUCUUACGGGUGGCGAGUGGCGGACGGGUGAGGAAUACAUCGGAAUCUACUUGUUCGUGGGGGAUAACGUAGGGAAACUUACGCUAAUACCGCAUACGACCUACGGGUGAAAGCAGGGGAUCUUCGGACCUUGCGCGAUUGAAUGAGCCGAUGUCGGAUUAGCUAGUUGGCGGGGUAAAGGCCCACCAAGGCGACGAUCCGUAGCUGGUCUGAGAGGAUGAUCAGCCACACUGGAACUGAGACACGGUCCAGACUCCUACGGGAGGCAGCAGUGGGGAAUAUUGGACAAUGGGCGGAAGCCUGAUCCAGCCAUACCGCGUGGGUGAAGAAGGCCUUCGGGUUGUAAAGCCCUUUUGUUGGGAAAGAAAAGCAGCAGGUUAAUACCCCGCUGUUCUGACGGUACCCAAAGAAUAAGCACCGGCUAACUUCGUG
rnacentral:rRNA from 1 species